rnacentral:rRNA from 1 species
AUUGAACGCUGGCGGCAGGCCUAACACAUGCAAGUCGAACGAGUGGCGGACGGGUGAGUAAUGUCUGGGAAACUCCCUGAUGGAGGGGGAUAACUACUGGAAACGGUAGCUAAUACCGCAUACCAUCAGAUGUGCCCAGAUGGGAUUAGCUAGUUGGUGGGGUAACGGCUCACCAAGGCGACGAUCCCUAGCUGGUCUGAGAGGAUGACCGGCGAAACUGGAACUGAGACACGGUCCAGACUACUACGGGAGGCAGCAGUGGGGAAGAGUGCAAAAGGGGAGCAAGCAGGAUGCAGCCAUGCGGCGUGUAUGAAGAAGGCCAUGGGGUUGUAAAGUACGUUCAGCGGGGAGGCGUUACCCGCAGAAGAAGCACCGGCUAACACCGUGCCAGCAGCCGCGGUAAUAC